rnacentral:rRNA from 1 species
CAAUUUAAACAACGAAGAGUUUGAUCCUGGCUCAGGAUGAACGCUAGCGACAGGCUUAACACAUGCAAGUCGAGGGGCAGCACAGGUAGCAAUACCGGGUGGCGACCGGCGCACGGGUGAGUAACGCGUAUGCAACUUACCUAUCAGAGGGGGAUAACCCGGCGAAAGUCGGACUAAUACCGCAUGAAGCAGGGGCCCCGCAUGGGGAUAUUUGCUAAAGAUUCAUCGCUGAUAGAUAGGCAUGCGUUCCAUUAGGCAGUUGGCGGGGUAACGGCCCACCAAACCGACGAUGGAUAGGGGUUCUGAGAGGAAGGUCCCCCACAUUGGUACUGAGACACGGACCAAACUCCUACGGGAGGCAGCAGUGAGGAAUAUUGGUCAAUGGCCGAGAGGCUGAACCAGCCAAGUCGCGUGAGGGAUGAAGGUUCUAUGGAUCGUAAACCUCUUUUAUAAGGGAAUAAAGUGCGGGACGUGUCCCGUUUUGUAUGUACCUUAUGAAUAAGGAUCGGCUAACUCCGUGCCAGCAGCCGCGGUAAUACGGAGGAUCCGAGCGUUAUCCGGAUUUAUUGGGUUUAAAGGGUGCGUAGGCGGCCUUUUAAGUCAGCGGUGAAAGUCUGUGGCUCAACCAUAGAAUUGCCGUUGAAACUGGGGGGCUUGAGUAUGUUUGAGGCAGGCGGAAUGCGUGGUGUAGCGGUGAAAUGCAUAGAUAUCACGCAGAACCCCGAUUGCGAAGGCAGCCUGCCAAGCCAUUACUGACGCUGAUGCACGAAAGCGUGGGGAUCAAACAGGAUUAGAUACCCUGGUAGUCCACGCAGUAAACGAUGAUCACUAGCUGUUUGCGAUACACUGUAAGCGGCACAGCGAAAGCGUUAAGUGAUCCACCUGGGGAGUACGCCGGCAACGGUGAAACUCAAAGGAAUUGACGGGGGCCCGCACAAGCGGAGGAACAUGUGGUUUAAUUCGAUGAUACGCGAGGAACCUUACCCGGGUUUGAACGCAUUCGGACCGAGGUGGAAACACCUUUUCUAGCAAUAGCCGUUUGCGAGGUGCUGCAUGGUUGUCGUCAGCUCGUGCCGUGAGGUGUCGGCUUAAGUGCCAUAACGAGCGCAACCCUUGCCACUAGUUACUAACAGGUAAAGCUGAGGACUCUGGUGGGACUGCCAGCGUAAGCUGCGAGGAAGGCGGGGAUGACGUCAAAUCAGCACGGCCCUUACAUCCGGGGCGACACACGUGUUACAAUGGCGUGGACAAAGGGAAGCCACCUGGCGACAGGGAGCGAAUCCCCAAACCACGUCUCAGUUCGGAUCGGAGUCUGCAACCCGACUCCGUGAAGCUGGAUUCGCUAGUAAUCGCGCAUCAGCCAUGGCGCGGUGAAUACGUUCCCGGGCCUUGUACACACCGCCCGUCAAGCCAUGGGAGCCGGGGGUACCUGAAGUCCGUAACCGCGAGGAUCGGCCUAGGGUAAAACUGGUGACUGGGGCUAAGUCGUAACAAGGUAGCCGUACCGGAAGGUGCGGCUGGAACACCUCCUUUCUGGAGC